GGAGUUUUGCUGUUAAAGUUUGCAGAACAGUACCUUGCUUUUGGAGAGGUCAGUGAGGUGUUAACCACUACAGAAGCAGUUGUGCUGGAGCGAAUGCAGAUAGCUUGCACCCUACUUGAACAUCGAGGGAACGCUGAGGACUACUGCACUGUUUGCUCUAUGUUAGAUGCUGAUGCUGACCGCAGCAUGAUUGAAAUGGUGCAGUGUGAAUCUUGCCAAAGAUGGGCACAUUUUGCAUGUGCAAAAUAUAAAGAGAGCAACCAAGAAUAUAAAU